rnacentral:rRNA from 1 species
AUUGAACGCUGGCGGCAUGCCUAACACAUGCAAGUCGAACGGCAGCGGGUCGUAGCAAUACGAUGCCGGCGAGUGGCGGACGGGUGAGGAAUACAUAGGAAUCUACCCAAACGUGGGGGAUAACGUAGGGAAACUUACGCUAAUACCGCAUACGACCGAGAGGGGAAAGCGGCGGACCGCAAGGCGUCGCGCGGUUGGAU